rnacentral:rRNA from 1 species
GAUGAACGCUGGCGGCGUGCCUAAUACAUGCAAGUCGAGCGAACGGACGAGAAGCUUGCUUCUCUGAUGUUAGCGGCGGACGGGUGAGUAACACGUGGAUCACCUACCUAUAAUACUUGGAUAACUUCGGGAAACCGGAGCUAAUACCGGAUAAUAUUUUGAACCGCAUGGUUCAAAAGUUAAAGACGGUCUUGCUGUCACUUAUAGCUGGAUCCGCGCUGCAUUAGCUAGUUGGUAAGGUAACGGCUUACCAAGGCAACGAUGCAUAGCCGACCUGAGAGGGUGAUCGGCCACACUGGAACUGAGACACGGUCCAGACUCCUACGGGAGGCAGCAGUAGGGAAUCUUGGGCAAUGGGCGAAAGCCUGACGGAGCAACGCCGCGUGAGUGAUGAAGGUCUUCGGAUCGUAAAACUCUGUUAUUAGGGAAGAACAGAUGUGGAAGUAAAUGUGCACAUCUUGACGGUACCUAAUCAGAAAGCAACGGCUAACUACGUG